UAUUUUUAUUUAUGUAAUGUGUUAACUGAAUAAAAUAGUGCUUAUUCCUAAAGUAUCAAUUUAUAGUAUAUCCACAAUUACAAAUAUAUAUACAUUUUUUUGUUAAUAAAAAAAAAAAAAAAAAAAAUGAUUAGAAAAAGAAAGUCAAAAACAGCAAAUGAAGAAUAUGAUGAAACUGGAGAAAAGGAAUUAAAUGAAGGGGGUGGGUAUUUAUAUAAUAAAAAUGGUCUAAAUGCAAAAAGUGUAGAAGAACUAUAUGAUAAUAACAAUAUAAAUUAUCAAGACUUACAACAUAAUAAAAAUGCAAAUAAUUUUUUAUCUUCAGGUGUUACUUUAAAUAAGGAUUAUAGUAAUUUGAGAAAAAGUAUUGAUUCCAAAAAUUUUGACGAAUUAGAAAAGGGUAAAUAUGACGAUAGUACUCUUUAUGAUAAAGACUCAAUGGGUAAUACAUCUUUUGUAAUGCGUAAUAAAAACAGAUCAAAACAUUUUAAAGAUAAAAAACGAGAUAGUAUACGUCAAUCUAUUGAUAUAUUAAAUGAUAAGUAUAGUAAAGAAUCGAAACAAUUGGUAGAAAAGUUUAAAUUUAUAAAAUUUUCUGAGAUUUUUAAAAAUCCUUUUAGUAAAUCAUUUAGCACGGAUGAAAAAAUUGUUCGAAUUUUUUAUCUGUUGGGUUUUACUUUUUUACCAUAUAUAGGAUGGACUAUAGGUAAAAAAAAAAAAAAAAAAAAAAAAAAAAAAAAAAAAAUAAUAAUAAUAAUAAUAAUAAUAAU
rnacentral:lncRNA from 1 species